GAUGAACGCUAGCGACAGGCCUAACACAUGCAAGUCGAGGGGCAGCGGGGAGGUAGCAAUACCUUUGCCGGCGACCGGCGCACGGGUGAGUAACACGUAUGCAAUCCACCUGUAACAGGGGGAUAACCCGGAGAAAUCCGGACUAAUACCCCAUAAUAUGGGCGCUCCGCAUGGAGGGCUCAUUAAAGAAGCAAUUUUGGUUACAGACGAGCAUGCGCUCCAUUAGCCAGUUGGCGGGGUAACGGCCCACCAAAGCGACGAUGGAUAGGGGUUCUGAGAGGAAGGUCCCCCACAUUGGAACUGAGACACGGUCCAAACUCCUACGGGAGGCAGCAGUGAGGAAUAUUGGUCAAUGGUCGGCAGACUGAACCAGCCAAGUCGCGUGAGGGAAGACGGCCCUACGGGUUGUAAACCUCUUUGUCGGAGAGUAAAGUACGACUACGUGUAGCGUAUUGCAAGUAUCCGAAGAAAAAGCAUCGGCUAACUCCGUG
rnacentral:rRNA from 1 species